AUGAACAAAAAGUUCCUCUUCUUUGUCCUCAAGCCCCUGAUUCAUUCAUACAUCUUCCUCUUCUAUAUCCAAAUCAGAACCACCUCGUGUUCUCCGGAUCCUAAGUUCGAAACAUGUCAACCCAAAACCUGCGGCAACAACCUAACUAUAAGCUACCCGUUCUACAUCCUAGGAAUACAAGAACCCUUUUGUGGGUACCCAGGUUUCGGUCUCUCUUGUGCCAAAAAUGGUUUUCCAAUCCUCAAUCUGUCUAAUACCCAAUACAUCAUCGAUCAAAUAUUCUACGACAAUCGGUCACUACGAGUGUCCAAUGCUGUAUUUUCAAUUUCAACAUCAAACACCACCAAAGGUUGUCUUCCUCCCACCCAGAACCUCACACUUGCCAAUAACGUGUUCCAUCUUGCUCCGAACCAAAAGGACAUGAUAUUGUUCUUCGGCUGUGACUUACAAUCGCUGCCCACAGGGCUGCAAGAGCACAGAAUCGGUUGUUCUGCAGAAAACGAAACGAGUUCGGUUGUGGCAUUGUAUAAGGAUGAUAAAAAUCUAAGCUUUGCAUCAGAAAAUUGCAAGGGUGAGGUGGUGGAUGCGAUAGUGGAAGAUGGGUAUGGAGGGAUUGAAGAGGCGCUGAGAAAAGGGUUCUGGUUGAAUUGGACGGCCAGUGAUUGCAGCUUGUGCAGAAGCACUGGAGGGAGGUGCGGCUUUGAUUCUGAUAUAUACACUUUCAGGUGCUACUGCACUGACAGAGUUCAUGCUUCCGAUUGUGGUCCAGCUACAGCAAAGCCAAAAAGGUUGCGUAGGAAUGUCAAACUUUGUAUAGGUUUAGGUGUUGGAAUCCUAGGCAUCUUGAUAAUUGGGUUGCUGUUGCUUUUUCUACUCUACAAACGAAAACAUGCUACCUCAGGUGGACACUUACAAUCAGGAAAUUCUUAUUCUGAUUCCUCCUUAAAUCCACGCUCAGAAAGUGGUAGUGUAUACUUUGGAGUUCCACUCUUCUCCUACGAGAAGCUUAAAGAAGCAACAAACAAUUUCGACCAUACUAGAGAACUUGGAGAUGGAGGCUUUGGUACUGUUUACUAUGGGAAACUCCCAGAUGGACGGGAAGUAGCUGUCAAACGCUUAUAUGAGCACAACUACAGGAGAGUACAACAGUUCAUAAAUGAAGUUGAGAUCCUCACACGUUUGCGUCAUAAAAAUCUUGUGUCCCUCUAUGGCUGCACUUCACGUCACAGCCGUGAACUACUGCUUGUGUAUGAAUAUAUUUCAAACGGUACCGUUGCUUGCCAUCUCCAUGGUGGAUUAGCCAAGUCUGGCUUACUACCGGGGUCUUUGCGAAUUAAAAUUGCCAUAGAAACUGCUAGUGCGUUGGCCUAUCUCCAUGCUUCGGGUAUCAUUCACCGUGAUGUGAAAACCAGCAACAUACUCCUUGACAGCAGUUUUUGUGUUAAAGUUGCAGAUUUUGGACUCUCAAGACUAUUCCCAGAUGAUGUCACCCAUGUCUCCACGGCUCCACAAGGGACUCCAGGUUAUGUUGAUCCGGAAUAUCAUCAAUGUUACCAGCUUACUAACAAGAGUGAUGUAUACAGUUUUGGUGUUGUGCUCAUUGAGCUUAUAUCAUCUAAGCCUGCUGUUGAUAUAAACAGGAGUAAGGAUGAGAUUAACUUGUCAAAUCUAGCCGUAAAGAAGAUUCAAGAAAGUGCAAUUGGUGAGCUGGUAGAUCCUUCUAUUGGUUUUGAUUCAGAUCAAGAUGUUAAGAGGAUGAUGGUUUCAGUGGCAGAAUUGGCUUUUCAAUGUUUGCAAAGGGACAAGGAAUUGAGACCUUCCAUGCAAGAAGUGUUGGAUGAAUUGUGUAGAAUUGAGAGUGGGAAAGAUGAGGUGGCGCUUCAAGAGGAGGCAGAUGUUCAUGGUGUUGGAGUUUCUCACAGUAACGUGCAUCCACCAUUACUAGCUUCACCUGACUCUGAUGAAGUUGGAUUAUUGAAAAAUAUGAAGCUGCCGACUUCACCGAACACUGUCACAGAUAAAUGGGAAAGUGAACGUACCACGCCUAAUGUCAGUGGUUAAUCACUUAGCUUAUUAUCAAUUGUUGAUAAUCCAUUUUUACCAUAUCAACUUUCAGCACUCAUUGUUAGUUGAAAAACCAGGAUGGGGUUCAUACGUCUUUUUGGAUGGAUUCGUGGGUGCCAGGAUGUCCUCAACUUGUUUCUCUGGCCGUUCAACCUAUUCCUCCUAUUAUGACUCAUUGGUCUACGUCUCAAUUUGUAACUUGUUAUGGUAAUUGGGACUGGCCUUUAUUUCAGCACCUUCUUCCUACUUCAGUAUUAGACAAGAUUCGUAGUGUGCUCCCUCCUACAGUGGAUCCUUCUCCGGACCGUGUUAUUUGGGCAGGUAGCCAAGAUGGGGUUUUUUCAGUGAAAUCAGCUUAUAACUAUCUCAUGGGUACCUCGCAUUAUCAUCAGGAUAGGAUUUGGAAGGUAAUUUGGGCUUGGCCUGGUCCUGAACGUAUUAGACAAUUCUUAUGGCUUCUCUACAUAGGUUCUCUUUUAACUAAUGUUCAUAGAGUGCAUCGUCACAUGGCUACAGAUGCAGGGUGUCUGAGAUGUCAUUAUAAUCUUGAGGAUAGUUUACAUGCCAUUAGAGAUUGUCCUGGUGCCAGGGAAUUAUGGGAGCAUUGGGUUCCUUCUGAUAUCCGUAGUGACUUUUUCUCCAUGGAUCUUCACCUAUGGAUUCAGACAAAUCUAGGAUUAAAAGGUCCGUUUCAAACUGAUCGAACUUGGCCUUUGUAUUUUGGGGUGAUAGCUUGGUGUUUGUGGGGGGAAAGAAAUAAGGCGAUCUUUGAUCAAACUAUCACCUCGAAGUAUGGUCUCAUUAGGCGCAUUACCUAUACUAGUGGUAAUAUUCAAUUGGCUAAUGAAACCCUUAUUAAGAUUGGUCAUCAGGAGCUUAGAAGAGAGGAACGUCUUAUUCACUGGAAUUUUCCCUCUGAGGGUUAUGUUAAACUUAAUGUGGAUGGUUCCAGUAUAGACAGUGGGCAAAUGACUGCAUGUGGUGGAGUCAUAAGGGAUGCUGCUGGGAACUGGUUAACUGGUUUUACAAAAUUCCUUGGGAGUGGUACUUCUACUUCAGCGGAAAUUUGGGGGUUCUUGACAGGUAUGGAUCUGGCUUGACAUAAGGGAUUUAGGAGAGUCUUUGUGGAGGGUGACUCCAAGGUGGCUUUGGAAUUUAUAAGAAAAGGGUGUGACAUAAGUCAUCCUCUUUCUGCUUUAAUCAUCCGAGCUCGUAGUAUGCUUCAAAGAGACUGGAUUAUUCAGCUUAGUCAUACUUAUAGAGAAGACAAUUUUGUUGCUGAUUGGCUUGCUACUCAUGCACCUCAUCAGGAUGGACAGCUGAUUGUGCUGGAUGUCCCUCCAACGACUUGUUUGGAAUUGCUUCGUAAUGACUUGAGGGGAGUUAGUCUCCCAAGAUUGUGCCCAGUAUAGGGCUUUUUUUGAUGUUGCUUUAGUUUUCAUUGUAUU